UACACGAAGGUGCUUUCUGACUCGCUGACAGAACUAGCCUGAUUUUUUUGCUUAUUUUUUUAAUGGAUAAUUUAACCCAGACAGAGUGAUGUAGACUCAGGUAUUUAAACCACCAGUGGUAUUGGGUGUGCAAUAAAUGGAAUAUUGAGUCUUGCUUUAUAACAGUACUUUGAAUUUAAAAUUAAACUUGCUCGUUAUAUUGGUUUCCUAAACCAAAGCAACAUUUGCAGCAGCUGCUGCCUAUCUACAGAAUGCUUUUUUCCCCCUUUAUUUCCAGACUGAAAGGAAAGCAACAAAUCCAAAAGCCAAUAGACUAAAAAUAUCUGAUGGAUAUAAUGAAAAAGAUGAAGGGGAACAGAUGACACACAGAUGAGUUUUGCUUAAAAAUGUUUAAUGGAGCCUUGUUUACCUCGACUACAGAUGAUCAAGGGCCUCCCUUUCCCAAGAUUUUUUCUGCAUCAUGGGGAGUAAUGAAGAGGACUUGUCAUUGCCUCCAGCUGUCAUUUAAAACUGUCUGUGCUCCCUGUAAAACAUCUACACUGCUUUCUGCAAAGGUUCGGAGAUCACAUCCACACUGUGCAGCUGAAUUUUGCUGGAGUUGGGCACUGAUGGUAGAGAGGCCCUUGGGACCAUCACGUUUAUCUAUCAAGCACCCGUGCACUCGCUUUGACCUGUGCUCUCCUUCUGUGCUGCCAUGCCUGUCUCACCUGGUGCCACAGACAGUGUUUCACAUGUGUGACGUAGAGCUCUUUCCUGCAGUGAGCAAUUUAAAGCAGAAAGGUCUGCAUUUUACAGUAAAUGGAAGCAAGGAUCUAUGA
rnacentral:lncRNA from 1 species